rnacentral:rRNA from 1 species
CCUACGGGAGGCAGCAGUGAGGAAUAUUGGUCAAUGGGCGCGAGCCUGAACCAGCCAAGUCGCGUGAGGGAAGACGGUCCUAUGGAUUGUAAACCUCUUUUGUCGGGGAGCAAAAGACGCCACGCGUGGCGUUCCGAGAGUACCCGAAGAAAAAGCAUCGGCUAACUCCGUGCCAGCAGCCGCGGUAAUACGUAGGGGCCAGCCGUUAUCCGGAUUUACGGGGGGUAAAGGGAGCGCAGACGGCUGUGCAAGUCUGGAGUGAAAGGCGGGGGCCCAACCCCCGGACUGCUCUGGAAACUGUAAAGCUGGAGUGCAGGAGAGGUAAGCGGAAUUCCUAGUGUAGCGGUGAAAUGCGUAGAUAUUAGGAGGAACACCAGUGGCGAAGGCGGCUUACUGGACUGCAACUGACGUUGAGGCUCGAAAGCGUGGGGAGCAAACAGGAUUAGAUACCCGAGUAGUC